GCUGUAUCUCAUUGGUAGGACAUCUGCUUUGCAUGCAGAAGGUCCCAGGUUCAAUCCCAGGUUACACAGCAGAGCCA